rfam:Triticum aestivum genome assembly, contig: Triticum_aestivum_CS42_TGACv1_scaffold_271468_3DS
UUAAUACUCCCUCCGUCCGAAAAUACUUGUCCUAGAAAUGAUUGUAUCUAGACUUAUUUUAGUUACAGAUACAUCCAAUUUAUCCAUUUUGAGAACAACUAUUUCCGGACGGAGGGAGUACCUA